GUGAGUCAUCGAAUCUUUGAACGCACCUUGCGCCUUUUGGUAUUCCGAAAGGCAUGCCUGUUUGAGUGUCAUGAAAUCUCAAUCCCCUUGGGUCUCUUGACCUGGGGUGGACUUGGACCUGGGUGUAUGCCGUUUGUCGGCUUGCCUCAAAUGACUUAGUGGGAUCAGCAUCCACGGCCUGACGUGAUAAGUUUCGUCUGGCAUGGUGUGAGGCCUGCUCAUAACCUGCCCCUUGUGGCGCUCUUUUGGACUCUGACCUCAAAUCAGGUAGGACUACCCGCUGAACUUAAGCAUAUCAAUAAGCGGAGGA
rnacentral:misc_RNA from 1 species